rnacentral:rRNA from 1 species
AACGAACGCUGGCGGCAGGCCUAACACAUGCAAGUCGAACGCACCUUCGGGUGAGUGGCGCACGGGUGAGUAACACGUGGGAAUGUACCCUUUGGUUCGGAAUAACGUCUGGAAACGGACGCUAAUACCGGAUGAGCCCUGCGGGGGAAAGAUUUAUCGCCAAAGGAGCAGCCCGCGUCUGAUUAGCUAGUUGGUGGGGUAACGGCCUACCAAGGCGACGAUCAGUAGCUGGUCUGAGGGGAUGAUCAGCCACACUGGGACUGAGACACGGCCCAGACUCCUACGGGAGGCAGCAGUGGGGAAUAUUGGACAAUGGGCGCAAGCCUGAUCCAGCCAUGCCGCGUGAGUGAUGAAGGCCUUCGGGUUGUAAAGCUCCUUCGCACGCGACGAUGAUGACGGUAGCGUGAGAAGAAGCCCCGGCUAACUUCGUGCCAGCAGCCGCGUAAAAC